rnacentral:lncRNA from 1 species
UGGAGACAACAACUACAUAAAUAAAGGUAUGACUAGAAGGAUGAAAGGGACUUGGCUCUGAGCUAAAGUACAAACCUCUGAUCUCAAUUCAGCCAUCUCUCGCACAGGCUCAAUAAGUCAGGCACCUAAGUGAUAUGACCCAAACCAAGGCCUUAUUGUAAUGGGCAUCCUAAGUCCAACCAAGACUAGAGAUCACCCCCG